CAGGCCUACGCUACUCUUGUCCAAAGGAGUCUUUCCAAAAAGCACAGCACCAGGGUUUGAUCUUGCCUGACCUCCGAGGGAGAGUCGGGACAGCUGAGUGUCACUCAGUGUGGUGCGACUCGCCUUUCCUGAGCGAGAGUCCAGCUCGACAGUCACUCCAAGGUGGUGAAGCUGUUUUACUGUGGCACUGAACACCUGAUCCUGCCCUGAAACUACAGCUCUCUGCGGUGGGCUCUGUUCCUUCUGUAUGGGUUCGUUUGGAGGUGAACGCCUGGGUGACAGAUUGUGCCUGAGGUGGCCGUUGUUGCAUGGCUGACGUCCCGUUUUUCCAGGCACGUGAUUGGCUGUUCCGGUUGGCGCAGGCUAUAAAAGACCUGGAGCACGAUGGAGCGUUUUUCCCCCUCCCCUGGCUGCCCGCCAGCCGACAGACCAGUUAUUGUUGGUGGCUUGCUGGCCUACAGGUACAUGUGGGCCAGUGAAGAUACUUUUGUAAUUUUGUUUCUUUCUUUUUUAGAAAGGAAACGUAAGGGUGGCCUGCCCUUUUUUUGACCUGUUGGACUUGUUUAUUGGUAGUGUAGUGACGGUAGUCAAGUCAAGUCUAAUUUAUUUUUCAUAGCGCUUUUUACAACUGAUGUCACAAAGCAGCUUCACA